GGCCCCAUGGUCAAGUGGUUAAGAUACCGCCCUUUCAAGGCGGAGACACGGGUUCGAGUCCCGUUGGGGCCACCA
rnacentral:tRNA from 2 species